CAUUAUUUCAUAAGUCGCUUUACGUUUCGCCCUUAUAAGUCAACUAGAACACACUUCGCGGUCCCUCCUUCCUAUGUAUUCCUCCAUUUUCGACGGCGAAUGAAGUAAUUUCGGCUGACAUAACCUACAUUCAACCUCCAAUUCCUUCACAAAACAGUCCAAAAUCUUCUGAUUUCAGGACAUUGCAAGAAAUGUUAAAGGUAUAGCCUUUGAAGAUGUGUAGUUCAGAUACAUUGGAACAUUUGUCAAGAUUUAUUUUUCUCUGUGAUCAAUCUAGAGAUCCUCUUCUAAAUCACCAGGGGAUUAUUGACUUAAGAAUGAAUUGAUUUAGACACUUCAGAAGGUUGACCUUCCAUAUGAUAAAGGAUAUACUGACAUCAGUUAUCCAACAGGGUGCAUUACACAAUUCAGGCCCGGGUGACUGCUUAUCAAAAACGUAGGUCUCCACAAAGUUGUAAGACCAUGUAUGGGAGCUGAUGCUUGCCCAGUGCCGGAAGGGUCAAGGAAGUUGGUGACUCAAUGACAGGGGAGUUGACGACCAAAGGCCGGGUAAACGGUGGCCAUAAAUGUAACGGUCGUCGGGUAAGUUUCGAUCCUCACGAAAGGUGUAAUUAUCUGGGCAUUGUCUUGGAGAGAGGCUCGGUGAAAUAGACAUGUUUGUGAAGAAGCGGACUUCUGGACAAAAAGACCGGAUGAAGCUUCACUAUUCCGCAGUAAUUUAGAUUGGAAAUAUGGUGAAAUGUUAUUAACAUCAGUGACCAAUAAGGCUGCAGAAAUAGCUGGUGAACCUAUUUUCUUGUUUUUAUCAGUUGUCAGAGAACAUCAAUUGAAUCAAUCAAAAAAGAGAUGAGAACAUGCAAUCAUACCUCAAAGAUGCUGAGACCAAACAAGAGAGUGACCAAAGGGUCAAAAUCAUGAAGAGAAAGUGUUUUUUGUUCUUUAACAUUUAGAGGGUGUUUGGCUAAACUUAUAAGCUGGUCUAACGAGCUUAUAAGCACUUUUCGGCUUAUCUACGCGUUUGAUAAAGUUAAAAGUGCUUAUAAGUCAAGUGCUUAUAAGUCAAAAAUAAGCCAAAAGCCAUAAGAUGGUCACCCCCAGCUUAUAAAUUUUUAGCUUAUAAGCACUUUAAGUUUGACCAAGAUUUUUACUAUUUUAUCCUUAAAAUUUUCCUUUUUAGAACAAAACUCCUACAUCGAUAAUCACUGCCUCAAGUAUUUUUUCAACCUAAACCCUCCUCCUCUUCAAGUCUGCAAUUCUCAUUGACUAUUUAAGAUAAGCAAAUCCUCUAUUCCUUUGCAUAUUUGUAUAAAUGUAAUUGUGUAUUAAUCUUUGAACUGUAUGUAAUAAAUGAAGACAUAUCAAUUUUUUGGUGUA